UCCGCCUGCCUCGGCCUCCCAAAGUACUGGGAUUACAGGCAUGAGCCACCGCACCUGGCUAAUUUUGUAUUUUUAGUAGAAACGAGGUUUCUCCAUGUUGGUCAGGUUGGUCUUGAACACGGGACCUCAGGUGAUCCGCCCACCUUGGGCUCCCAAAGUGCUGGGAUUACAGGCAUGAGCCACCACUCCUAGCAAUAUACUCUUUAUAACCUCACUACAACCACCUCAGAUAGGCAUUAUUAUUCACACUUUAAGCAUGGAGAAACUGAAGCUCAGGGAAGUUAGGUAACUUGUGCCAGGUCACACAGCAAGUUAAGUACUGGAGCUGGGUUUGGAAACUGAACAUUAUGUCUCUAGGGCUGAACACUUACCUAUUAAGCUAUUAUCUCAACUGCAAGUUUGAUCAUAAGACAGAAUAUUUACUUACUAAUUAAGAUGUACAAAUGGGUAGGUUAGAGAUUUUGGCUUUAGUCCUUACUCUGAUAUUUUAGCCAACUUUCUUCGUGACUCAUUUUUUUUUUAACCUGUCAAAUGGGAAAAUAGCACUUACCUAUUGUAUGCAACCUAUUUUUACCUAUCUUUAUUAUUAUGAUAAUAGAUGUUAAAGUACUUUGAAAAGACAAAUACUAUACAAAUGUAAAGUGCUACUACGAUUAUUUUUCUAAAUAACAGAGGGCACUACACCUGUCUUCUGUCUUGGUGGGGUCAAGGUCUAGAUUGACAUUCUAAUUCAACAAACAUUUCCUUCUUUCUUUCUUUCUUUCUUCUUUUUUUUUUUUUUUUUUUUUUUUUUUUUUGAGACAGGGUCUCAGUCUGUCACCCAGGCUGGCUGGAAUGCAGUGGCGCAAUCUCAGCUCACUGCAGCCUCAACAGCCCAGGCUCCAGAGAUCUUCCCACCUCAGCUUCCUGAGUAGCUGGGGGUUACAGUAGCUUCCCGAGUAGCACCCGGAUAAUUUUUUUUUUUUUUGAGACGGAGUCUCGCUCUGGAGGCUCUGUCGCCCUGGCUGGAGUGCAGUGGCAUGAUCUCUGCUCACUGCAACCUCCACCUCCUAGGUUUAAGCGAUUCUCCCUUCUCAGCCUCCUGAGGAGCUGGGACUACAGACGAGUGCCACCACGCCCGGCUAAUUUUUGUAUUUUUAGUAGAGAUGGGGUUUCACCAUGUUGGCCAGGCUGGUCUCAAACUCCUGACCCUGUGAUCCACCCGCCUCGGCCUCCCACGUGCUGGAAUUACAGGCGUGAGCCGCCGCGCCUGGCCGCACCCGGCUAAUUUUUUCAAUUAUUUGUAGAGGCGGUGUUUCGCCAUGUUGCUCAGGCUGGUCUCAAACUCCUGGGGUCAAGCUACCUGCCCGCCUCAGCCUCCCAAAGUGCUGGGAUUAUAGGCGUGAGCCCCCACGCCUGGCCAACAAACACUUAAGUGUCUUCUAUGAACCUAGCAAGUGCUUGGCACUGCUUCUGUUGAGUGCACAGCCCCAAGCGGAAGACAAACAUUAAAUACGCAAUUAUACAAAUAUGAUAAAGUUUUAUAUUGUGUCUUGAAGGAAAUAAACCCCUUGUUAGGAAAGAGAAUGAGAGAGUGGACUUGGAGGAAAUGACUUUUUCUCCACUGGGAGAGGGAAGAGUGGAAAACAUGGAGAGGGGAGUGCUGUGCAUGAGUCAUGGUGGGAGAGAUACCAGCCCAAGGUUGGGUCACUCAGGGCCUUGGGGGCUCUGUAUUGGGCUUUGUACUUUAUCCCAAGUGCAACAGAAAAUCCUUUUUUUUUUUUUAACUUUUUUUUUUUUCUACUCUUGUUGCCCAAGCGGCAGUGCUGCAGUGGCGCAAUCUCGGCUCACUGCAACGUCUGCCUCCUGGGUUCAAGCGAUUCCCCUGUCUCCCAAGUAGCUGGGAUUGCAGGCGCCCACCACCGCACCCAGCUAAUUUUUGUAUUUUUAGCAGAGACGGGGUUCACCAUGUUGGCCAGGCUGGUCUGGAACCCCUGACCUCAAAUGAUCCGCCCACCUCGGCCUCCCAAAGUGCUGGGAUUACAGACGUGAGCCACCGCGCCCGGCCAGAAAAUCCUAAGGGGUUAGGAGCUGAGGCCUAGAAUGGUCAAAGAGUUGGAGGUGUUUGCAAAAGUGAUUUCAUUGAUGACCCGUGAUGUCUGGGUUGAAAAGGGGAGAGUGAAGAGAGGAGGGGACUGCAGGAUGGAGAGAAAGCAGCAGGGCUUGGACUGAAGAGCUUGCUAAGCUGAAAGGACUGUUGCUGCGGGGGUUACUUGAGAGCACGGAAGGAGAGGAGAGCGUGUUUGAAUGAGUGAGGAAGGCUGUGAAGUUUCUGGUCCAUGUUGUGAUCACGGGAGUGGGUGGUGGUAACAGAGCAGAAGGAAGUGUAGCUGGGAAUGUGAAGUGAGAAAGCUAAAAGGCCAGAAUGGCUUGACAGAACCAGAGAGCAAGUUCCAAUUCACGGGAGGCUCAAGCGCCUGGGUUUUGUACAGGGCUGACCCCUGCUGGUAAAUUCUGGUAGAAGCCCAGGAAGCCACGCUGCUCGCUUAGGAGAACCUGAGAAGUGUGGUAACAGCGGUCACAGGCAGCAAAGGAAGAGGGCUGUUUUUCCUUAGACAUAACAUUUUCAUUUUUGAAAUGUCUCUGCCAGUUUUAGGCUUAGAAUGUCCUCACAACUAAAGCUUUCUUAGUAAACAUAUAUGUAAUAAAAUGCACACAUCUCAACUGUAGAGCUAGAUGAAACUGUAGAAAUGUAUAAGCCCAUUACGUAACAAAUGUAAUCAUCACCCAGAUUAAGUUAGAGCAUAUUCCAGUAGAUCUCCCCAAAACCUCCCUCUUGUCCACUCACUACUUACCCUACUAUCUUGACUUCUAACAGCAUAGAUUAGUUUUGCCUGUUGUUGAAAGUCAUAUAAAUGGAAUCAAACUGUAUGCAUUCUUUUGUAUUUUGUUUCUUUUCUUUUUCUUUUUUUUUUUUUUUUUUUUUUUUGAGAUGGAGUCUCGCUCUGUCGCCCAGGCUGGAGUGCAGUGGCGCAAUCUCAGCUGACUACAACCUGCACCUCCCGGGUUCAAGUGAUUCUCCUGCCUCAGCCUCCCAAGUAGCUGGGAUUACAGGCGCAUGCCACCAUGCCCAGCUAAUUUUUUGUAUUUUUAGUAGAGAUGGGGUUUCACCGUGUUAGCCAGGAUGGUCCUGAUCUCCUGACCUUGUGAUCCGCCCGCCUCAGCCUCCCAAAGUGCUGGGAUUACAGGCGUGAGCCACUAUGCCCUGCCUGUAUUUUGUUUCUUUGACUUAACAUAUGCCUGUGAAAUUUACCCACAUUGUGGUAGUAGUUCAUUCUUUUUUAAAAAAUUGCAUUAAAAAAUAUGCUACCAUUAUUUAUCCAUUCUUUUUUUUUUUUUUUUUUGAGACGAGGUCUUGCUGUGUCACCCAGGCUGGAGGGCAGUGGUGGGAUCUCAGCUCACUGCAACCUCCACCUACCAGCCUCAAGCAAUCCUCCCACCUAAGCCUCCCAAGUAGUAGCUGAGACUACAAGUGUGCACCAUCACAACUGGCUAAUUUUUGUGGGUUUUUUUGGCUAGAGAUGGGGUUUUGCCAUGUUGCCCAGGCUGGUCUUAAACUUCUGGGCUCAAGCAAUUCUCCCAGCUCAGCCUCCCAAAGUGCUAGGGUUACAGAUGUGAGCCACUGUGCCAGGCCCACUAUUUAUCCAUUUCUAUUACUGAUUAAAAUUUGGAUUGUUUCCAGAUUAUGACUAUUAUGCUCCUAUGGCCAUCCAUCCAUAUGUCUUCUGUUAAUUGUAUGUGUGUGU
rnacentral:lncRNA from 1 species